rnacentral:siRNA from 1 species
UAGGAUGCGUACUGAUGCAA